ACUGCCCAAGCCUCCCAAGCGUCAAAGCGAGGCCCCCUAGGGCAAUGACUGGAUAUCUCCAGGGCCUUGCAACCUAAACUUUUAGUGUGUAUGGUUAUUGGUUAGGAUGCGUUGACGGUCAAACAUUACUUGUUUCCUUUCCUCUUGAAACUCCACUGAAUCUCCGCCACCCACCACUUGUCGCCUUUCUAUUGGACCCCCCUCUCCUCGUGACCACACCUUUUUAACUAUCCUCUCCGAUUCGCAUUUUAACCCUCGCUUUGACGCAGGACUCUUCUUCUAUUCAUCAUCAUCCCCAUUCCAAAAUCUUUCUAAGGUAAUUUUAUUCAUUUAAAUUUCUUGUCUUUUUGCUGAUCUCUGUGUUUUAGAUCUCUCUGGUUUAUGUUUUCAUUUUUUUUAUUUUAUUUGGUUUUUGGAUUUUAUGCUUUGACCUGAUUCGAUGGAUUUACCUUUUUUGUUAUUCGAUCUAUGGAGCUUUUAGCGAUCUGAGAUGUUCUGCUUCCUGAUUUAGCUAGAGGAAUUGUGUCUUGUUCUUCGUUUACACGGGAAAUAGUUUUUAGGUUUUCUUUGUUUGAUUUUAUGAUCUCUUCGGUUGCUGAGAAAGUAGGUUGCGGAUGGGGGAGGGAAGGGGAGGGGUUGUGAAAUGGAACAAUAGUUUCACCAUCAGAUUUCCAUUUUCAUUUCGGGUAUAAGAAAUGCGACUUUGAUUUGUUAGGUUGAUGAGCAAAUGUUGGAGAAAGUAAAGGUAUUUAUAGUUGACUUAAGUUUUUUAUUAUUUAUGGAGCUUUUUUUUCUAACUUUAGUUCCUCUAAAUAAAAUAUUUGUUUUUCUAAUUUAUUUUGUUUUUUGAGAAAAUUUUGAGCAAAGAAAAGGAAUUAAGUUUUAGACUUGGAAUUUUUAUUGUUCUUAAGAUGACACUUACUUAAUUUAUGUACGUAAACAGAUCAUUUUUCCGAGUGAUGCAUGGUUGUUUGGGAAUUUAAUUGGUUAAUUUUGCUUGUUACUUAAUCUUGAAGUAGCUGUUGAAAUAUGGUUACAAUUGGCAAUGUUUAUAUUAGUCUAAUGAUGCUUGUAUUGGGAAUUAUCAGGCAGAAGUUACUUUUUAGUUUGAUAAAGCAAGGAUGCUGCCUACUGAAUCAUCGCGUGAGGAAAAUGUCUACAUGGCCAAGUUGGCUGAACAGGCUGAACGUUAUGAGGAAAUGGUGGAGUUCAUGGAAAAGGUUGCAAAGACCGUGGAUGUCGAGGAGCUAACAGUGGAGGAAAGGAAUCUUCUCUCUGUGGCUUACAAGAAUGUCAUUGGGGCUAGGAGGGCUUCAUGGAGGAUAAUCUCUUCCAUUGAGCAGAAGGAAGAGAGCAGAGGAAAUGAGGAUCAUGUCACAAUCAUUAAGGAGUACAGAGGUAAGAUUGAAGCAGAGCUGAGCAAGAUUUGUGAUGGGAUCUUGAGCCUCCUUGAGUCACAUCUCAUUCCCUCUGCCUCAUCUGCUGAGUCUAAGGUAUUCUACCUCAAGAUGAAGGGUGAUUAUCACCGGUAUCUUGCUGAGUUUAAGACUGGAGCUGAGAGGAAGGAAGCUGCUGAGAGCACUUUGUUGGCGUACAAGUCUGCUCAGGUGGGUAGCCAAUGUGAUGUUGUGCCACUUCUUCAUUUGCCUCAUUGUACUUGUUCCUCUCCUUUGCCUCUAUUAAAAUUCAUGUUGUUAUUGGUGCUGUAGGCCUUUGUGCUUUAUAUACAAUUGCAAUUUGUUUUGUUACGUUAUUUAUUUAUUUUUUAAUACAGGAUAUUGCUCUCGCUGACCUUGCACCUACUCACCCAAUAAGGCUUGGACUUGCUCUUAACUUCUCUGUUUUCUACUAUGAGAUCCUGAACUCACCUGACCGUGCUUGCAAUCUAGCAAAGCAGGCCUUUGAUGAGGCUAUUUCUGAGCUGGAUACGUUGGGUGAGGAAUCGUACAAGGACAGCACAUUGAUCAUGCAACUGCUUCGAGACAAUCUGACACUCUGGACUUCUGAUAUCACAGUAUGUGAACAUUUGGCCUAAUAGAUGGAUCUUAUUUAUUGUCUUGUAAAGUAAUAAUGGUGAGAUAAAUAGAUUUACAUAUUUAGUUUGAUUGUGUGAUUUACUUGGUCACUUGUUUUAUGUGAGGUAUAAAUCAUUAAAUGUUACCAUUGAGCCAUACUUAUUGAUGUUAUGCAUUUUUGCACAUUAAAUAUUUCGGUAGAAAAUUAGGUGUGUACUAUUUAUUGAAGUUGGGAUUGGACAAUGUCUAUAACUUUGUCCAAGUUCUCAUUAGAGCUAUGCCUAGUCGGUGCUAAACUGGUACAUCAUACUUAGGUCAGAGAGCCAAAAUUCUAUAUAAAAACCCAUCCUGGCUUUGAGUUUUGGCAUCUUAUUAGAUUUGAUGUUGGAGAUAGUGGCAUUAUAAGUGGUGUAAUUGGUCAAUUGCUUGUGUGUGAGCAACUGGAUGACUUUCUCAAGGUUUUUGUUUAUUUAUUUAUGUUUGCAUUAAGCUCGAGUUAUGCUUACUAUUCAUUGAUUUGAUUCAAGGACGAAGCUGGGGAUGAAAUCAAAGAAGCAUCAAAACGUGAAUCGGGUGAGGGACAGCCGCAACAGUGAUGAGUUAAAAUUCAUAGGAUAUAUCUGCUGUGUACUUCUAUCUUGUGACCUCUGCAUAGAUCCCAUGCUGGUGGGUUUAGGUGGAUUGCUGAAUGAAUUUGGUAAUUCUGAGUGCUGAUAAGCACCUGGAAUUGAAAUGUUCUGACAGAUUAUCAACCUUCUACUAUUGAUGUUCAGAAUGGAAGUUGGUAUUCCUAUCGCUUUACCAUGUGAUAUUGUUGAAUUUAGGAAUUUCCAUUUUUCUUUUUUUAUUCUAUUGAAAAAUUCCAUUUUUCAAAUUAAAUAUGUUAAAGUACAAGAAAUUGUUGGGUGUUAAUUGUUCGUUGUUCCCAUCUGUCUUAGCUUUCAAAUGGUGGUACUGGUGCCAGGUAAUGCGGUGGAGCAUGCUCCUCUUCUUUCGUGCUAAUGCUGUGCUUCUUACUUGCGGCAUUCAAAGUAAAUGAAAAUGAACACGAGGCUUAUAUGAAAAUAAGGAUUUUAUUAAAUUAUUGUGAUUUUGAUAAAUGUUUAUUUUUUUUACUAAGUCGUGCGUGUAUCUGUUUUUUGAUAGAAAAAAAGAUGGUAUUGAGUAAAAUAAAAGAUGAAGCUGAGUGUUUUUAUGUGAUUUUGAUUGAGGUUCAAGAGGAAUAC
rnacentral:misc_RNA from 1 species